GACCCAAGUAGGCUUUGGGUGAAACCAGAGGCUGAGCUGAAAGAACUGAUGGGAAGAAGAACUCAGCCUGCACACAUAUUGCCUCGAAGGAGGGCUGUGAAAUCCUGAUCUCAAGGGGUUUAUUAUGCUGAGGUGCCUCCUCACGAUGCCUGGGCUGCUGCCACAAAAACUUAAUUUUGGAAAUUGAGGAUGGAAGUGUUUAUUUGGAGCGGGGAAAAGAGAUGCAUAAAAUUGCAUGGAUUUUGAAAAAACAACUGAAGAAAAAAGCUAUACAAGAGGAUUGCGUGGUCUUGUGUGGUUUUGAGAUGGGCAUCACAUGCUAUAAGUAUACAAGUGUACUUAGCAUGCUUCCUGGAUGCUAGCAAGCGGGGGAGUUGAGCGGGAG